UUCUCUCUCAGUCCUCUCUUUCUCUCCACUUUCCCAUGCUCUCCCUCUCUAUGCAACUCUCAUUCCUUCUUCGGUUCUUCCCCGAACUCACACACACACACACUAGCACUCCCUCAUCUCCCUCAUUCUUCUUCUCUCUCUGCUAGUGCAGACAAGGAUGGUAGCAACAUGGAAACCGGUGCAAAAGUUUGGAGGAAACCAAAACCCAGUUUCCGGUGUGGACCGUGGGUUCCAAGGCGAAACUCCAUCGAGCUCCGACCACGGCAUGCCUUGAAAAUGGUUCUUUGCUCUCAAUUAUGCUGCAGAUGCUGCCUGCACUGUUCUACGGGUUGAUCAGCCUUUCCCCAUUUUCUACCAUGGUGCAAUAUCAUACAAGGUUUGAGGUCGCAACUGAUGGUCUUCAGUAAGCCACUAAAUUCUUCUCCUCUUGCCCCAUGACACAAGGUCCUGCAUAUUUGGUGCUAAUGGAUUUUUGAAGGCCAUUUGAUAUAAAUCUGGGAAUGCUCAUUUUCUUGCGUGGAAAUGAAGCUGGGAAUGCCCCUUUCCUCAUGACACAAGCUCUUGCAUAAUGCUACAUGGCAGCCGACUUAAGGAAUGGCAGUAGGAUAAUUUUAUUGUGUGACAUGCUUUUGUAUGAGCAUUCUAGAUGUACAUUUCAAAUUUAUCAAUCAAUAAAGUAUUAUUUCUUAACAA